rnacentral:piRNA from 1 species
AUCACAGACAGAGUGGUCAGGUUGGCCAAGC